GUACCCAUGUUCACAGUUUGUUUUCUUUUCUUGAACACUCUGAAUGAAAAUGAUUAAAGUUUCCUAAAAGAUCUUCGUAAUGUUUUAAGUAAUCAAUUAAUUAAUCGAUAAGGAAACCACUGUCAUCUGGUGCUAUUUUGUGACUUAUCGAUGUGAAAAGCGUCUUGUGUCAGUUUUCAACAUGGCGUCUGCUAGUCAUAUCGAAAUUAAAUGCGAACCAGAUUUACAUACUCUCGUGAAGACCGAGACUGAUAUUUCUGAAGAAAAUCAACAAAUGAAGACAGUAAAUGAAAUAAAAGUGGAAUAUGAAAUUGAAUCACAAUGCAACAUUCCAUUGAAGAGUUACAGCGUUGAGCAGCAAUGCAAGGUUAAGACGGAGGAGCAAUGCAGUGUGAAUGUGAAAAUGGAACCAAUCAAUGAUGAUGAUGAU